GGCACAGCAGAGCUAUUUUCGGCCUGGCGGUGAUUUCGGGGUUGAUGUACCCCGUGUGAUAAGGUUAUAGUUCGCUCCGCUCACUGACGAGGAAUAUUAUUUGUGUGUGUGUGUAUGCUCUACCUACGGUUCCUGUGAGUUGACUGGCGAAAAGAUGGUCUACAGUUAGAAGUCUAACCGCCAGCAAGUCUCGAGCUCAGCGUUUCACAGGCUGUGUAGACCGAGAAGUGCGGAACUAGGUCAAAGGGCAAGGAGAGGGUUGGCCGUCUCAAGCCUGUUUCAGCACAAGCCAUUGUUUGGGGCUCCUGGCACCGGCCGAUCGAGUGGAGUCGGUGAAAACAGCAGACGACUGACAGCAGCAAAGUUGGUCUCAGUCUCCUGCUCUCACAUACUUAUAACAGGUUGCGGUCCAGGUCCAGGUCCAACGCCGUCACAUCAGGAAGCGACACGAGCAGUCUAGACUCUGCCCAUAUAAGGACAGCGCGUGCAAGAGAGGUCAGGCUGAUGGCUGAAAAACAGGACGCGGACUGCACCUUGUUGCUGGACUCCUCCGACUUCUUCGACCCCCCUGCCUGGGUACCCGGCCGCUACUUGCAGUUCGCCGACUUCUCCAGCACGGACGAGCAGUCCACCCUGUGGCCUGUGUCGCUACCUGCCGAGAUGCAGGAAGACGUCCGCCUCUACAUCCCGAAGCAUCAAGCUCCACCAGUCGCUACCACACUGCAGAUGUCAGUGAACAGAAGUCGUCUGCUUGUGGCGAUGUCAGGUGUCAUGACCUUUCUGACAAUACUGUGCUUCCUGACCUACUGUCUGUGACAUCACAGUCAUCACAUGUCAUAACUUAUAGAACACAGGCCAACGAUGUACGCACGCACGCGCGUGCACACAUGCGCACCUGCGCCAACUUGCGUGCUGACAAAUAUUUGUGGCCUGUGCAGUCGCAACCUUUCAUCCCCAUCCCCGUAAACAAGCGCACGCCACCUGCUCAGGUACAGGUACAGGUAAUCUGAUGACGUGUGGUGGUUGAUGCUCAGCCCUGUCGUGUCAACUCCGUCAUUCCAGCGGGUGAUCAGUGGACUGCACUCUGCGACAUAAGCUUCCGCCACCACCUCUCGGACCUCACCUGCCCAAAAACUGUUCCCACCUUGUGGACACAAGCAGGUGUUUGUUUGGACACAGACUGUCCUCAACAUUGUGUUAGGAAGCCUGACAAUCCUAACAACCAUUCUCGGUACCUCAGCUGCCGGGUACAUCUCGCUACCCACAACCAGUUCACGGGUACAUCAAUAUUGGCAGAUCAAAAUACUACCCUAUAGAUAAACAAUGUUUACACUAAGGACAGUUGCCAGCAGUAUUCUUUGUGUUUAGUGUGCGGACAGUGGAGAGGUGGUCAGUGACACGUGGCACCCGGUGGAUUACCCGGCUGACUUGGUUGAUUGAUCAGGACUAACGGGCCUGUAGGGUGUGCCAGCGACAAAGGCUUUCACCGCCGCGGACAACGAUGCCAACAUCUACAAGCUCUGUCUCCAUGAAGACAGGUGGCGGAAGCCAGUGUCUAUAUCAGACAAUGAUUUGUUAAUCUCAUUCAGAAAAAUGUUCGAUAUUUUGUUUAUUUAUGUACGUACCCUGUGUGGGUGAGUGACGUGGAAUGGGUAUUAAUGAGUGAAAGAGUGGGUAAAAGAGAAGAUAAAAAUGUUCAUGUAAGCAGUUUCUAGAGUGAGCGAUUCUGAAAGCAACCAUGUCAUCAGCUGACCUGAGGACCCACAAAGUUCACGUCCUUAGUGCGUUGCUAGGCAACCGCUUGACAUCACUCCAUGCACUUGUUUGUGAAUGAAUGAAGGCUGAGAAAUACUGAAAGGCCAGUAGGUUUGAUGCACAAACUUUUGUGAUUCUCUCUGUGUAUGUUGAGCGUAUGUGUGUGUGCACGUGUGUGUGUGUGCGUAUGUCUGUGAGCGCGCGCGUAUGUGUGUGUGCGUAUGUGUGCGUGUGAGUGUGUGUGUGUGGAGCGCCUUGAGUGUACUAACAGAACCUGAAAUAGCUCCGCCACGAGUUCUCGAUCAUUAAAUGUCAAUCCCAAAAUACUCUUGUCUAGUCCCAAACUGUGCUUGACUUCUGUCAACUGUGUUCACGGUAAUAAAUACGAUAAAGCCACUUUUAGCAAAUGUUCAUUUUGUUCUAUUUUCCAGGUUGUGACUCAGAAGCAGCUCAAUAAAGCAAUGUUAUUGUGUCAGA
rnacentral:lncRNA from 1 species